UCCGAAUUGGUGUAGUGGCUAACAUUUGACGCUCUCAUAACCUCUUGGUACCAUGUGCCGUCAAGCCCGGGGUUCGAUUCCCCGAUUCGGAG